GCCAAGCGCAGUGGCGCACGCCUGUAAUCCCAGCAGCUCAGGAGGCUGAGACAGGAGGAUCGGUGAAUUCAAAGCCAGCCUCAGCAAAACUGAGGUGCUAAGCAACUCAGUGAGACCCUGUCUCUA
rnacentral:sRNA from 1 species